rnacentral:rRNA from 1 species
AACACGUGGGGAACCUGCCCCAUAGUCUGGGAUACCAUUGGAAACAGGUGCUAAUACCGGAUAAGAAAGCGGAUCGCAUGAUCAGCUUUUAAAAGGCGGCGUAAGCUGUCGCUAUGGGAUGGCCCCGCGGUGCAUUAGCUAGUUGGUAAGGUAAAGGCUUACCAAGGCGAUGAUGCAUAGCCGAGUUGAGAGACUGAUCGGCCACAUUGGGACUGAGACACGGCCCAAACUCCUACGGGAGGCAGCAGCG